rnacentral:rRNA from 1 species
AUGCCGACACAUGCUCGCUUGGGCCCUGUAGUGGUCUCCGCUGGCAGGGUGCCCUCGGAGCGUGCACAGGCCGCGGCGCCGAAGUUGGGUGAGACCAGCAGGAGGACAAGGCCAGGCUCGCCGUCUGCCAGGCCGAGUGUGGAGCGCUGUGUCAUCCCACGCUCACCGGAGGUGGUUGCUGCAGAGGAUGCCCUGUGAUGGAGCCUGGUUGCGUUCACCACGGGCGACCGGACAAGGACGUCGCCGAGCGCAGUGACUGCGGCGGUGGAGGCUGCCGUCCCGAAGGCCGCGGAUGCUUUCUCGGUUCACCGUUUCUGGCAUGCUGAUUUCCUCCUGGUGUUUUCUUCAAGAGUGGCGCGAGACGCCGUGGCCAACACCGGCGAGGUGCAGGGGCGUGGCUUCUCCCUGAGGUUCUCCCCGUGGAAUAGACCGCUACAGGCCACUCGCCGGCCUUUCCACUACAGAAUUCACAUCAACAUGGAAGGUGUUCCCCCGCAUGUGUGGAGUCGUUCGACAGCGCAGAUCAUCCUUGGCUCUUCAGCUUGGGUUGAGCGUCUGGGCACACAGACGGCCAACCGAGUGGAUUUGGGCAAUUUCGAGGCCUACGCGUGGACAGAUGACCCCUCCCUGGUGCCCAAGGAGAAGCUCAUCAUGGUCGAGGAGCCGGAUGAGAUGGAGGUGGAGAUUGCGGACGACCUGGUUCUGCCGGCGGACGUGUUGGUGCCACUGGAGAAGGCCAUGCUGGAGUACAAGGUCAUGGUGCACUUGGUGCACACAGAGAAUACUGUGCAAAGCUCUGGCCCAUCCUCGGGCGAUGAA